GGUGACUCUAAUGGGCAGCCAGGGGUGAGAUCCAGGGCCUUUCUCAAUGGGAAAAUCAAAUCAAGUAAAUUAAGGAACCAUCCUCUGAGACCUGUAAAGCUCUCUCGAUGGCAAGUUACGUCUGUGACUGAGCCCCAGAGAAGGGCCCGAAGUCAGUCCUGAGUUCCCAGCAUGGUGCAGGCAAGGUGGUCCUGCAGGCCUUGAUGAGUCUCUGAACUUCUCUUGGAAACGGAGCCCAGCUCCACAGCCUGCCUCCCGGGCUCCCUCCGCCCUUUGCUGCACUGCACAGCCGCCUGUCUCCAAGCCCAUGUUCUUCACAGCUUGUCAGCUGGGACAGUGACACUAGAAGCUUCACAUGAAACACAGAAAAAGUGAGAGGCAAGAACUCACACCCAGUUCAAACAUGAGGAGGCAUCAGAAGAGCAGACCCCUCUUGACCGUGUAGGGACUGACGUGCCAAGUGGGAUGGAACAGGGACCCGGGGCAGCAGAGCUGAAGAGUCCACAAUGGAAAGGCUUUCUCUCCUCCUCAGCUUCCUCAGUGAUGUACACAGUGAUGGACACAUUUCUGUGAAGGUGGGGAGACUGGUUCCCCCAGUUCUGCUUGGACAUCCCACCCUCAGAGAGUCGGCGCCCAGCUGGGGAGGCUCCACAGAGCCACGCUUUCUCCUGGGAUGCUCCCAGCUACCUCUGCAUGUUUUCUUGUGGGUGCAGUCCUGACACAUCUCUGAGCAACACUUGCACACCCCCUCCACAGCCACAUGACUCUUGAAGCAGGUUUCCUGUCCCCCUCCCUGGUCCAGGAUGAGGCCCCCUUCACAAGAGUGGCUGUUGGUGGCAUUUCCUCCACAUGUUCUGCAAGGAGAGCUGCAGCGUUCACAGGUGCCGUCUUCUGCAUAGAAGCCCCUGUGGGGAGGAGAGAGCAACUGGGGAAGCCCCCACCCUGGGAGAAGAUUCCCACCUGGAGACAAAGGAGUCAGGGCUGUGAACAGGAACUGCUGCUGCUGUCGACCCAGACGAACCACCGGAUCUCCUGAGGAAGUGUGAAAGAAAAAUUGAGGAAGAAGCAGUUUACGUCGAAGAGGGGGAACUGAAUAGUAACCAGAUGAAAGCUAAG
rnacentral:lncRNA from 1 species